UUUCUAUAAAUAGUUUACCAUUUUACGUGUUUAAAACCAUUCAUAAUUAAUUUGCAGGUAUGGAUCCGAGUAACAACAAUCUUUCAUUCUUAAAGCUGAAUGAGGACGAUGAUCCUAUUUUUUGUUAUUGACAUGAACUUUUCCUCCUAUAAAGCAUGAUAUUGGGUACCGAAUAAUAUAUGAGUAGAGCAUAGAGCAACACAGCGAGACGGAUAUCUCGAGGCUGAGAGAUUUGGGCAUUGAGAGAAAAUAAAGGUUUGAAAUUUGUGAUUUUCAGAUUAGGAAAGAUCGAUCAAAGCGAAUCAUAGAAAGGUCCAUCACUGGAGAACCAAUUUCAUGAGGGAGAUCUGGUGUGGGCCAAAGUUAAUCACCAUCUUUGGUGGUUGGGCAUCAUUAACCAUGAACCGCCGUUGUCAACGGAUGGUAAGAAAGUUGAAUCUUUGGCAACAAUCACAAACUUUGAUGAUUUGCGUUUUGUCGAGAGAGAGGAUGUCAGGAUUUGGAAUUGCCAUAGAGAUGAUGACAGUAAGAGCUUGACAUCCAGCAACAACACAACCACAAUGCAAAGUGAAGCCAUCUAUCUUCUGCAAUAAAAUUUAUCACAAAGGAAAACAGUUUUCCCCAAUAUCAACUGUUGCUGCAGCAGGUCUACAAUAACAAGGCUGAUUACAGGUUAGUCAACGCGAGUUCCCUGCUUUAUAAUUUCACAUCUUGCGGAAUCUUUUGAGUAUUUGAUUUUUAAUUUACUCAUCAAGGUUCUUUUACACAAGGCAUGAACUUUGUGAAUUCUUAAGUCUGAACUUUCAGUUGGACUCAUAACAAGAGAGUAAUGUUCAUUACACACAAAGCCAUACAUUCUUUGGUGAUUUGACCCACUUCAUUCAGUUAAAGAUACCAUUUUGCAGCUAAGACCACUCCUAUCUGAGAAUAAGCUCUGCUGUCGGUAACUGCAAGCUGGUACCA
rnacentral:lncRNA from 1 species